rnacentral:piRNA from 1 species
UGAAUACUAUUAAAGCUUGACCUCAGG